rnacentral:lncRNA from 1 species
UGAUAUUAUCAUAAAUAUUCUUUACAAUAUGUAUUACAUCUAGAUUAUGACAAAGUAGUAGCUACUUCCAAUAUGGUAGUUCGAAAAAAAAUACUUCACUUCGUUCAAUUCAGCUCAGCUUCAGUACGCUUCCAAAUCGGAUAUUUUCAAUGACUUCAAGUUAUUUUAAAAUUUUGGUCCACUUAACUCCUUGGGUGGUGGAUGUCGAUC